CCACUCUUUGCAGGAGGCAGUUAUGAGACGUGAAGAUGAGUAUCUUGUAAAGAGGGAUAGGAGAAUUGGAGGGCAAGUUUGGUGCCAGCAGCCGCGGUAAUACCGACUCCAAGAGUGUGUAUGAGAGAUGCUGCAGUUAAAAAGUCCGUAGUCAUAGAAGGGCAAAGAGAGAUGCGAGGUCUCACAGUGCGAUGAUGGAGGAGCCGAUGGGGAACAUAGUAUACCAGGGCGAGAGAUGAAAUGCCAAGACCCCUGGUGGACUGAGCGAGGCGAAGGCGAUGUUCUUGUAGGCAUUCGGUGAUCAAGGACGAAGGCUGGAGUAUCGAAAGUGAUUAGAUACCGCAGUAGUUCCAGCAGUAAAAGAUGCCGACAUGCUCAUUGGACACAGUGGGCAGGGAGAAAUCUUAGAGUUCGGGCUCUGGGGAUAGUAUGCUCGCAAGGGUGAAAAUUAAAGAAAUUGACGGAGCUACACCACAAGGAGUGGAUUGUGCGGCUUAAUUUGACUCAACGCGAGGAAACUUACCAGGGCCAAGUAUUGUGUAGAAACGAGCAAUACAGGAGUGGUGCAUGGUCGUUGGAAAUUGAUGGGAUGACUUUGACCUUAAAUGGUUGAAUGAGUGAGAUCUUUUGGACAUGUUCCGCACGGAACAGGAAGGAAAAGGCUAUAACAGAUCCGAGAUGCCCUCAGAUGCCCUGGGCUGCACGCGCAAUACAAUAGCAGGUAGAGAGAGAGACAGGAAGGUGCUCAGAUGGACUAUGUGCUGUAAGGCACAUACGAAAGAGGAAUUCCUAGUAAGUGUGUAUCAACAAUG
rnacentral:rRNA from 1 species